CGAGAUCCUGGGCCGGAGCCUGCCGCUGAACGGCGCCGGAGUGUGCGGCGCCGCCCUCGCCGACCUCGGGUUCCACCCCGAGAUCCUGC
rnacentral:tRNA from 1 species